UGCAGUUUGAAUGUGUGUUGGGAGUGAAAUCCAGAGGGAGGUAGUGGCUAUGGUGAAGGCUCUGCCCCCCAGGUUCCUUUAAUACAUCUUGGCUUUUGGAAAUAGUAAUAUAAGAUAUUGUGCGUGAGUGGGAGGGUCUCUGUGAACCUCACGUGUCAUGUAAUGCACUCUAGUCCCUGCUGUUCCACAUCCUGCCUGAGAAAAAAAACAGGCUACACUCUGCAUCAACUUUGCCUCCCUUUCUUUUCCCACUCCCUCCCUCUCUCCUGAACGUGUGUGUGCAGACAGACAGACAGAUGGAUUUUGUGAUAAUGUCCCAUCAUCCACUGCUUAACAUGACUCAUCAUUUGCAACACAAAGGAUCUUGCAAUUCAGGACAUGUAUUUCAUCAUUACCUGAAAAAAACACACCCAUGUGCCAUUUUAGAUUCGCAAAACUCUUGUCUAUUUUUUUGCCAUUACAAUUCCUUUGUUUACUCCUUGAACAUAUUUCCUGACACUGUAGCUAAUUUGCAAAAUAAGAGAACAAUUGAGCAGGGACAUGAAGCUUCAAUUUGUUUUUCUCUGUGCUCUUGUAAUUGGAGAUGAGAGAACAUGGCUCAUGUGGAACAACAUGUGGAGACGGCACCUUGGGAGACGCAUGCUCUUGCCAUACUUCAGUGCAGUGUUUAUGCUGAAACUAAGGGCUGUAUUCCACUCCGAAUUUUGCUAGCCCCUCAACUCAUAAACAUGUUUACACAUCCCUGCCCCCUCCUCCUGUCUCUCAUUUCCUCUCUGUUGUCAGGCACUACCUUUCUAAACCACUCCUCCUCACUGUACCACGGUUUCCCGACUAAAACACUCAUAUGUCCCUCAUUUUUUCCUGUCUUUCUCUCCUCUUUUUACCUGAAAUCCUCUCUAAACAUGCUCCCUAAAUUGUCUGCAGUAAAAGCAACAGAGAAGUUGAAUGGUGAAUGGUGAAUGAACCAGAUAUCUUCCUGUUGGUAAUGCUUCCUGGAUCUACAGCACGUUGUGUUCGGACCAGUCAACAGCUCUGUUACAGCCUGACCCUGCCAAACACUACCAUCAUCAGGAGGCUGGGAUAAAAACAGAAACAGAUGGUGUGUGUUUGAGUUGGUAGAGGAGAGAGACAGAUAGUAUAUAAAUGAUUCUUUUUGGAGCUGACACUGAUGAAACCAUGUCCACAUUAAAACUCAAGUUUGGGACUAAUAUUUCACAGUCAUCAGUGGGAGUUUCCUAAGUUUCCACAUGCCCCAGCAGUGUGCCUCUAUACCUUCAGAGACUUGACCCACUUAUGUAGGUUAAAUAACUGGGGACUUAAAGUUAUAAUGUUACAGGUCUACAUAUAGAAAUGGCAGUCUAUGAACCCUCCACUGAGCAGAGUUUUAACCUAUUCCAAAUAACAGAAAGACCUGUAUUAAGUAAGAUAUUAUUUGGGAUAAUUGGUUACUUCAACGCCUGUGGUAGGCUACUUGUGAGGAAAAGAGCAAUAAAUCUGUUUCUUAUGCAUUCAUAUUCUUUGAAAUCCAAAUAGAGGUCAGAUAGAGUGCCAUAUCAUUUACAAGCAUAAUAACCGACCUUAAUUUGAAUACCAUUUGCCAGUACGCUGUUUGCUCCAAAGAAUAUUAUUUUGUGAUUUCCAAAAUUAGUCUCAAAAAGCCUUCUUUUUGAGACUAAACCUUCAAUUUUUAUCACAUUUUUCCAAAAGAAGCUCUCCCCAAAUGUGUAAAGACUGGAUAUAAACAUAGAGGUGUACAAAACAAGCAUAAAAGUGGAAGAGCGUGUUCCUUAAGUCAACUGCCACUGCAUUUGGAUGUUUACCUUUUUCUAAAUAGAAAAUGGUGUCAGAGGUGAGAGAAACGGACAGACGGGAAGAACAGACAGAGUGAGGGGAAAAUAGGCUGCGCAUACACCGGAGUGGGGGUUGGGGUAGGGGUGAACAAAGGAAGUAAACAGCUGUGUUUUUAGGCAUAUCAUCAGGUGUUCUCUAUAAUCACUAUUGAUCAUUUACAAUCACUUUGUUUCUAUACCAGCGACUCAAUUUAAUCAGUCUUCUUUUUAUGUAAAAGACAUACUUACAACACGCUAAAACAAACAUGAUUUACACCCAAGUACACUUAAAAUUGUCUCUGCCUGAGGUUCACAGCAACCAAA